UACGAGAGGCGCAAACGUUAUUCGGAAUUACUGGGCUUAAAGAGUUCGUAGGCGGCGCAGAAAGUAGGGUGUGAAAGCCCUCGGCUUAACCGAGGAAUUGCGCUCUAAACUACUGUGCUCGAGGGACCUAGAGGUGAGCGGAACUGAUGGUGGAGCGGUGAAAUGCGUUGAUAUCAUCAGGAACACCGGAGGCGAAGGCGGAUCUCUGGGCCUUACCUGACGCUCAGGUGCGAAAGCUAGGGGAGCGAACAGG
rnacentral:rRNA from 1 species